CGGUGAACCAGCCGAUUGUCAGUCUUGCAUCACUUAUCACGUCCCUUUCUCAUACAGAUGUGCAGGUCGGACAUGAGGCAAUAAUAGCUUGGCCCACCAACCACAUGGCUUCUACCGCCCUGUCAGCGUAGGGGUGAAUGGAGCGUAGGGGCAGCAGAGUUGGUGGGGUCUGCUGAGUGCUUCUGGCGUAGCAGUUCGGCAGUGGUUACAGUCGUGAAUCAUGGACCAAGACUGCACUCUUAGGCCCACUCCUUUUUGGUGGAUCGGGUCUUGCCAUCUUCACCUUUCGUGGCUUCCUGUCGUAAUUAAAUAAAUUGUCAUAUUUUUUUCUGA